UCCUCCUUUGAGCUUCUUAUUUCUCUUUUGUUUCUUUCAUUGCCGCCUCUGCUUUUCUUUCUCAUUCUCGAACCAGCGAAGCCUCACGCGCAGCCAUUCCACUCACCGAAGCUGCUCCCCUGCUUCUUGUCUUCGUUCAGCCCAUGCACGGUCAACACCCUCACCCCACCGAACCCUUGUUUGACCGCUCCACUCCACCGUUUGUUGCAGCUUCUUCAUCAUCGUCCCGUCUGCCCUCUCUCCUCACGCCACCGAAGCCACUCACCCCGACCAUCCUUGUCUUCUUGCCGAUUUGUUGACAUCGGACCUUCAACGCCAGCCGCUCAAAGCCAACGCCAGCUGCCGUCCAUCUGUCCACCGAUUCAACCGAGUAGCGCCAGCGAAUUCGGCCAGCAAAUCCAGCGAACUCCCCUCCUUCGCGUGCCUUCCCCGGUCAAAGCAGCAGCCCAUCUUCGGGCUUUCUUGUUCGGCCCAGCUUCUCCAACGCAAGUCUAACAGCCCACGUGAAUGUCAUCUUCAAGCCCAGCAAUUUGAAGCCCAAGUAAGAUCAGUCCAGUAAUUUGAAACCCAAGCCCGUUCAGCCCAACUUUGGCCCAGCCCAACUCACUAACAAAUCUCAAUUUGGGCUGAGAUUUGUUAGGUCAGUUUUAGGCCCGGUCCAAGCCCGUUGACGCCGUCGCAAACCCGAGUUUUGGCCACCGUCGCGGUGAAUCGGUCUUCGCUUUACACCAGUGAGUUUAUGCACUAAACUCUUCUUAGUAGGCUAAUGACGUUUAAGGGGUGUUUAGAUUUAUUUAAGUGUAAUUUAGUUUAAUUAUUAGUUUAGUUAGUUAAAUUAGGUUAGUUAAAUUAAUUAAUUGGGUGGUUAGAAAUUAUAGUUAAUUAGAUUAGUGUAUUGUUAUAUAGUGGUUCUUGCAGCUGAAUCUGCAAUUAGAUGAGCUAGACGUCGGGUAUAAUCGGCUCACCAGCGAGCCACCCACCUCGUUGAUGUUCUUAGACGUCCGAUCCAAUGUGGACUUGAGUUCAAACCUCUAUGAAGGUCCUCUUACUAUGUGGUCUACCAAUGUGACGACACUGUAUCUCAGAGAUAAUCACUUCUCCGGUCCCAUUCCUCCCACUAUUGGCAAACUCAUGCCAUACCUGACACAUUUAGAUAUCUCUCAGAAUGCCCUAAAUGGUACCAUUCCCUUGUCCAUUGGGAAUAUGACCACUUUGACUACCUUAGUCAUCUCCAACAAUUACCUAUCAGGAGAAAUACCGUGGUUCUGGAGUGACUUGUCCUUGCUGUACAUUUUCUGACAUGUCAAACAAUAACCUUUCGGGUCCGAUACCAAGCGAGAACUGCAGCUCUCUGGCCAGUCUCGAUCUCGCCCAUAACAGGUUCUCCGGAAACAUUCCAGCAUCGACUGGAGGGAGCAUUACUUCGUUGCUGAUUUUGCGCCUACGAUCGAACUUGUUUUCCAGGGAGAUUCCUACUCAGAUAUGCCAUCUUUCGAAUCUCCACAUAGUGGACCUCUCACACAACAGCCUGUCAGGAUCAAUCCCGGUGUGCAUCGGAAACUUAACUGGCUUGAAAGUGGAGCUCACAAAUGCCGACAGGGUGAGGUACCAGGGACGCUUGACUGUGGUGGCCAAAGGAAAGAUUUCUUCAAUAUGAUGAAAGGAUUCUUUACCUCGUCAACAGUUUGGAUCUCUCCGACAACCGCCUGUCGGGGGAGAUUCCUGAAAGGCUAAUGAGCCUCGUGAGGUUGUGGACCUUGAAUUUGUCCAUAAACCAUCUCAUUGGAAAAAUACUGGUCGACAUCGGGAACUUGGAGCGGCUGGAGACACUUGACUUAUCAAGCAACGAUCUCUCGGGGCUGAUUCCUCGGAGCAUGACCACUUUAACAAAGCUGAAUUACUUGAACCUGUCGUGCAAUGACUUUUCGGGGAAAAUCCCCACAGCCAACCAGUUCCUAAACCUCAAUGAGCCAUCUAUUUACAAGGGCAACGUUGACCUCUGUGGGAUUCCAUUGGCAGAGUCAUGCCUGGGAGAAGAGAAACAGCCACAAUCUACUGACGAUGUCGAUGGAAACAGCAAGAGCAAAGAUGGAGACGAUGAUCUCGAAUAUUUCUGGCUAUUCCUGAGCAUUGGGCUCGGUUUCUUUGUUGGGUUCUGUGGUGUCUGCGGCACUUGGUAAAGAAGUCCUGGAGAGAGGCUUACUACGGUUACCUCGACAGAAUGAAGAACAAGCUAACUGCACUCAGCGCACGUUGGACAAACUAGUAUCAUGUAUUCUGGGAUUUCAAUUCAGUGCUUUCAUAAAGCUGUCUUCCAUACCAUCAUUAGACAUCUUAUAAAUGUAGCAGUUAUUUACAACAAGCAUAGGGAACAAACCGUACAUGUUUCAGGUAUUGUCAAUAAAUGAGUUUUGUGCAGUAA